rnacentral:ncRNA from 1 species
GCAGGACGGAAAGACCCCGGGACCUUUACUACAGUUUGAUAUUGGUGUUCGGUUCGGCUUGUGUAGGAUAGGUGGGAGACUGUGAAGCGGCCACGCCAGUGGUUGUGGAGUCGUCGUUGAAAUACCACUCUGGUCGUGCUGGAUGUCUAACCUGGGUCCGUGAUCCGGAUCAGGGACAGUGUCUGAUGGGUAGUUUAACUGGGGCGGUUGCCUCCUAAAGAGUAACGGAGGCGCCCAAAGGUUCCCUCAGCCUGGUUGGCAAUCAGGUGUUGAGUGUAAGUGCACAAGGGAGCUUGACUGUGAGACCGACGGGUCGAGCAGGGACGAAAGUCGGGACUAGUGAUCCGGCGGUGGCUUGUGGAAGCGCCGUCGCUCAACGGAUAAAAGGUACCCCGGGGAUAACAGGCUGAUCUUCCCCAAGAGUCCAUAUCGACGGGAUGGUUUGGCACCUCGAUGUCGGCUCGUCGUAUCCGCUGUGCGCGUAGGAAUAUUGAGAAGGGCUGUCCCUAGUACGAGAGGACCGGGACGGACGAACCUCUGGUGUGCCAGUUGUUCUGCCAAGGGCAUGGCUGGUUGGCUACGUUCGGGAGGGAUAACCGCUGAAAGCAUCUAAGCGGGAAGCCUGCUUCGAGAUGAGUAUUCCCACCUCCUUGAGAGGGUAAGGCUCCCAGUAGACGACUGGGUUGAUAGGCCGGAUAUGGAAGCCCUGUAAGGGGUGGAGUUGACCGGUACUAAUAGGCCGAGGGCUUGUCCUC